CACACACAUUACAUUCAAACAUUCACAUGCCUGUAUGUGAAUCAUUGACUGGAGUUUACUUCUAACAUAAACACACGGAUAGAAGAAAGAAAAAAUAUUCAGGUUCUUGUCGGAAAUAUACAAUGAAGAUGAAAAUAUCUUUAUAAUACACGCACGAAAAAAUACCUAAUACCCCCUUCACACAAACACACAAGCAGACAAAUACUACAAAACACACACACAACUUUGCCUUCAUCGAACAGAAAGCGGGAGUAAAAAACGUGGUUUGUUAAGCAACGAAAAGGGCAGAUGGAAGAAAGGAAGAAAAAGAAAUGGAAGUGGAAAGGCUCCCAUUUACAUACCGGCUCUACCCUAGAAAUGGGUCUGGAUUUUCUUGGGCGACCCCUAUUCUCUGGUUUCAUGAAAUACAUUGAUGCAACAAACAAUCCACAUAUUGCAUCAUGAUAGGAUCGGCUGAGUGUCAUACACCGAAGCUGAGAAUUAAAUAAUGCGGCAUGUUCCAAACAUCCCAGCAGAACGGAAUCACGUUUCUGCUCACUAGAAACAAAAUAGACGAACGGCGAGGACCAAAAUAUCGGGAAGUUUAGUCGAGGCAAAUAGAGCGAGGAAAAUAAAAAUAAAAUAUGAUAAUAUAUAAAAA